rnacentral:hammerhead_ribozyme from 1 species
GUCUAGCUGAAGAGUCCCAAAUAGGAUGAAACGCGUGUCCUGGAU